GUCCUUAUGAAAAUGAACCAAAAAUAAAUGAAAAAUGUGAGAAUUGUUUAGGUCCGUUUCUUAGUUUAGGUUUUUUCUUGAUUGUAAGAAACGCAUACGUGGCACGAUUUGAUUCGUUGGUAAAGAGAGAAAACAAGGUUAAGUUACCAACCCGUCGACACCUUUCCCAAGCCGUGGAACCGCUCGUUUCUAUGCUCCGAUUUGAUUCGUCUGAAUCUCACCAUGAGGCUGAUUUACCUGCUCUCCUUAACCUCGUCGUCAAAGACGAGAAAUUGGUAACAGGAUCAUUGGUAACAGGAUCAUAAGGAAGAGAUUCAUGUGCGUGUGGAGCAUGUGCAGCAGUCAGAUGCGUAGAGGAGUUCAAACGUCCCGUCGGUGUUGAAGUCAACAAACAGGGUGCAUAUUUUUGUGAGUGAGAGACAUGUCUAGUGUCAAAUUAGCCAUGUUCGUGUGUCAAAGUGUAGGCCAUGUUCUCAGUAUCUUCAAGAAGAAGAAGAUGUUCUUUCUUGUAUAGUUUUUGUCUUUGAUGUGUUUUCAAAUGAGUCUUGUAUACUUUGUCAUAUUAUUGUCAUGAAUCUUUGUUAUUCAAAACGUGUUUAUCAAAAAUGUAUCAAAAACUUGUAUAGUUUGUCUUCUCUA